GCCCAGACUCCUACGGGAGGCAGCAGUGAGGAAUAUUGGUCAAUGGGCGAGAGCCUGAACCAGCCAAGUCGCGUGAAGGAUGACGGCCCUACGGGUUGUAAACUUCUUUUGUCAGGGAGCAAUUGGGUCCACGCGUGGGCUUAGCGAGAGUACCUGAAGAAAAAGCAUCGGCUAACUCCGUGCCAGCAGCCGCGGUAAUACGGAGGAUGCGAGCGUUAUCCGGAUUUAUUGGGUUUAAAGGGUGCGUAGGCGGAAUAUCAAGUCAGCGGUAAAAAUUCGGGGCUCAACCCCGUCGUGCCGUUGAAACUGCGUUUCUUGAGUGGGCGAGAAGUACGCGGAAUGCGUGGUGUAGCGGUGAAAUGCAUAGAUAUCACGCAGAACUCCGAUUGCGAAGGCAGCGUACCGGCGCCCAACUGACGCUCAUGCACGAAAGCGUGGGUAUCGAACAGGAUUAGAUACCCUUGUAGC
rnacentral:rRNA from 1 species